AAAGCGCGCGUAGGCGGUUAUUCAAGUCAGAGGUGAAAGCCCGGGGCUCAACCCCGGAACUGCCUUUGAAACUAGAUGACUAGAAUCUUGGAGAGGUCAGUGGAAUUCCGAGUGUAGAGGUGAAAUUCGUAGAUAUUCGGAAGAACACCAGUGGCGAAGGCGACUGACUGGACAAGUAUUGACGCUGAGGUGCGAAAGCGUGGGGAGCAAACAGGAUUAGAUACCCCAGU
rnacentral:rRNA from 1 species